AUUGAACGCUGGCGGCAUGCCUUACACAUGCAAGUCGAACGGCAGCACGGGAGCAAUCCUGGUGGCGAGUGGCGAACGGGUGAGUAAUAUAUCGGAACGUGCCCAGUCGUGGGGAUAACGUAGCGAAAGCUACGCUAAUACCGCAUACGAUCUAUGGAUGAAAGCGGGGGAUCGCAAGACCUCGCGCGAUUGGAGCGGCCGAUAUCAGAUUAGGUAGUUGGUGAGGUAAAGGCUCACCAAGCCGACGAUCUGUAGCUGGUCUGAGAGGACGACCAGCCACACUGGGACUGAGACACGGCCCAGACUCCUACGGGGGGCAGCAGUGGGAAUUUGGACAAUGGGCGCAAGCCUGAUCCAGCAAUGCCGCGUGCAGGAU
rnacentral:rRNA from 1 species